AAAUGUGACAGGAAGUGAUUUGUACCACUUCUAGGCUUGGCCCUUAAAGUCCCUCGAGACAGUAAUCAGGGUGUCAGCCAGGGCCACAGUCAUCCCAGGCUUGACUAGGGAAGGAAGUAUCUGUCUCCAAGCUCACUCACGUGAUCAUUGGCAAGAUUUGGUUCCUCACGGGCCAUUAGGCAGAGGCAACUCUCAGUUCCAGGCCAUGUGGGCCUCUCCACAGGGCUGCUCU
rnacentral:lncRNA from 10 species